GACUCUGGAACAUGCGGAGCGUUAUCUGUCUCCCCGGAGGAUCCGGAGGAACUGUCUAUCUCUGGCCUGGGAGCUGUUUCCGGCUGGUGGGGGGCGGCUUAUCUGGUGAGGGGGUGCCCUUUCCCCCAAGCACUCAGGAAAUGGCCUCUGGAUUCUUGACCCCGGGGAACCCAGGCUUCUUCCGCCCCAGCUGGCUCCCCUCGGGACGAUGGGCCCGGAUCAGACGCUUCCCUCCUCCGGUUCCUCAGAUCCUGCCUUAUCCCUCGCCCACCCUACCUUUUCUUUCUAAUCUGCCUACAGGAUUCACAGUCCUGGCAAAGCAGGUGAUGGGCGGGGGGCCACAUAUCCGGCGGGCUGUGGGGUAGGCUUUAGGGACCACAGCUACGGGACGAAGGGUCACCCCGCUUCUCUCUGACCCCUCGGAGUUAGAUGACUCCGGGAAGGUGCGAGACCCGCAGCUGGUGCGCAUGUUCCUCAUGAUGCACCCUUGGUACAUCCCUUCUUCGCAGCUGGCGGCAAAACUGCUCCACAUAUAUCCUUCGCGGGCCUCGCCGUGGGCCCUGCAGCCCUGCUUGGGGGAGCCAGGCCGCCCAGCCCAGGCCAAGAAUGGGCUCCGCUCCUAGAGCAUGGGCCCCUUAUAAGCCCUAGAAUCCAGGCUUGGCGCAACCUUGCUCCAGGGCCGAGGCUCCGCCCCUUCCCGCCUCUCGAGUCAGGCCCCGCCCCCGCCCCUCCUCAACCUGGGCUCUCUACAGCCUAGGACCUGUCCCUACUCCCAGCCCAAGUCCCUCCUCCGGCCUCCUUCCCGGAACCCAGGUCAUGCGUUCAGCCACCCCUUAGAACCUAGCCCCGUUCCUAGCUGUGCACCCUCCCCAAACUCGCCCCUCACCCCCUCUUCAGCCCCUUUCCUACAGGCCCCACCCCAGGUCCCGCCCCCAGCAUCUCUCCUAGGACCAGGCCCCUCCCACAGUCUCCCUCCAGAAGCCGGGACCCAUCUCCUGCCUCCCUUUCUAGAAUUAGUCUCCAUCCUCGUUUUCCUUAACUCUCCUUCACCUACCAACAAUCCCGGAAGGACAACUCCAAUUCGCUGCAGGUGAAAACAUGCCACCUGGUCAGGU
rnacentral:lncRNA from 1 species